rnacentral:rRNA from 1 species
CACGUAGGGGGCGAGCGUUGUCCGGAUUUAUUGGGCGUAAAGAGCUCGUAGGCGGCUCAGUAAGUCGGGUGUGAAAACUCCAGGCUCAACCUGGAGACGCCACCUGAUACUGCUGUGGCUAGAGUCCAGUAGGGGAGCAUGGAAUUCCUGGUGUAGCGGUGAAAUGCGCAGAUAUCAGGAGGAACACCAGUGGCGAAGGCGGUGCUCUGGGCCGGAACUGACGCUGAGGAGCGAAAGCGUGGGGAGCGAACAGG